CAAAAUUUUCACGUUUAGUUGACCAAAAUUUGUGAAAACAUUUUCUAUAAUAAAACAAAUUCCUUAAAAAAUGAGGAAAUAACUUCCCUAGCACUAGGGUGGGCAUGGUACGGUAUUUGAUACUUCGGUAUCAUAAUUUAAUUUUCGGUUUCUAAAAUUACUAUACCAUUACCUACCAAAUUAAUUAGGGAUGGUUCAGUAUUUUUAAGUUCAAUUUUGAUAUUUUGCGAUACGAUAAAUUAGUAUCAUAGUUUAUUCGACUUACAUAUACUCAUAUCAUAAAAAAUUAUGACUUCGACUGCUCAAGAAACGUAUCAACUAUAUUGUACCUUACACAGGUAAAGCUAUUAAAAAAAAAAAAAAAGUAAAAGCAAUCGCCUUUGUUCAACCCCAUGUUAUUUUAUUGCAUCUAUGCACUAAUCCAAAUAUGUCUCUCUCUCCUCAUCGGCCACUUUUAACAACUUCAUUAACGGCUUCUUUGGAGAGUGAGGGUCACGCUCCAAAUCGUCUGAUGAAGGAACAGCUUCUUCCGGUGGGGAGCCACAUACCCAUCGGUGGAAUUACAGAAAAAAGCCUCUUAUGUGAACACUAUCUCUGCCCCGACAACUAUCAAGCAACAACCUCAAUACGACAAACUAGGGAACAAAUCAUGGGUAAAAAAACAACGCACAACGGUGUUCCUGCCAUUAUCUUCAAGGCGUUGGAUUGCUAUGGAAAAAUGGCGGAGGAAUGCUGAUACACUUUGGUGUGUCUGUUUUUGAAAGCAAGGCCUCAAAUUGAUAAAAUUAGGUCUCAAUUCAAAGAAAUGGUUACUGUGAAAGGAACUGCCACAAUUGGAGUCUUUGACAACUUUAAUGCGGUCAUAAAAUUUACAAAUGAGAAGGAUUCCAAGACUGUUUGGUACAAAAGAGUUAUUGAGAUCGAUGGAUUGCAAAUGUGGCUCCAAAAGUGGUCACCGGAUUUCAAGCCAGAGGAGGAUAUUCCUUUUGCACCAGUUUGGGUUCUUCUUCCAGGUCUGCCAUUCCAUCUCCACACUUGGAAUGAUCUUAAACAGUUGACAGAAAAUGUUAGAACUCCAUUAAUUCUUGAUGCUGCUACUGUCAGUAGAACUAGGCCAAGUAUGGCUAAAAUCAGAGUAGAAAUUGAUCUUUUGAAAACUAGACUUGAAUAAAUAUAGAUUGGUUUGGAGUAUGAGGAUUCACCAUCGAAAAGUUUUUACCAAAAACUUGAAUAUGAGGGCAUUCCUAAAUAAUUGGGUCAUAAUGUUGAUGAAUGUAAGGUCUCGGAAAGGUUUAAUAACAGACUAGCUAAUGCUAUGACUGUUAACAAUAAGAUUGCUACUGUUGGGAUGAUUAGUGAAGAGAAAGAUAGAGGAGAUACUUCAGGGGUCCUAUUGAUGAGAAAAGCAAUGAUACUAUUACUCGCAGGGAAGGAAAGGACAUUAAAAAAAAUGUGGCGGUAGACAAAGAUAUUACUGAAGGGGAAAACAAACAAAUGAAGAAUAAAAACAACGAUGAAAGUCAUAACGAUGUGGAUCAUGAAAGUCAUAAGGAUGUGGAUCAUGAAAACAUCAGGAGUCAAAUGCGAAGACAAAGGGAAAGAAGAAUAGGAAAGGAAAAUCCAAAAAGAUGCCAAGAAAGAAAAACAAGGUCAUUUUCAAAACUAUAUCCUUGUUGGAGGCUAGAAAAAGAAAUAAGAAAACCAAGAAACCUAGUUUCUUCAUUGAUUUGCCUAAGCAGGAUAAGACAACAUUGAUAUUAGUAAGAAUAAUGCUCAAAUCUAGAUUUCUAGAAGCAAAAAUAAAGACAAGAGGGAAAUUGAUAAUAAAGAAGAAGCUGCUGAGAUAUCCACAGAUCAAACUCAUAUAAGUGAUAUUGUGGAGAUUCAGAUUAUCAAUGAAACUCAUGUUGAUGGAGAAGUUCAGAUGGAUACUAAGAAGGAGAAGAAUGAUGAGGUGGAAGAAGGAUAAAUCAUUUCCACUGCUGCUGCUAGUUCUUUUAGUCUACCUUCUUAUAUAAAAAAUCAUAAAGGCAUUCAACUUUUCGUGGAUCUCAAGUGUGAACCUGAUUUAAGAGAACAGAAUGAUACAGAGAAUAUCAGUCAAACCAAGGUGGAUAUGAAUGAUAAGAGAAGAACCAAGAACUUUGAAUGGGAACAAUAACAAUCAGCAUCACAGAGGAAGAAAAUUACAAAAACAUACUGCUAGUUUGAGAACUGUCUCCGAGGAAUCCAGAACUAGCAGGAAAGAUAAUCCAGACUUUAAACUGAGUCAAGGAAGCUUAGUUUCCACUGAUUCUAGAGGAAGGAGUAGGAAUAAGAAGAAAAGAAAAUCCACAAGACAAAAGUCUAAUCCCAAAUCUAAAGGAAAUGGAAAACAAAGACAAAGUGCCCCACUCUUAUCUAUUCCAUGAUCAGUGCCAUUUUUUUGGAAUACUAGGGGAAUAUGGACAAAAAAAUCAUUCUCAGACUCAAAAUUCUUGACAACAUCAAUAAAGUGAUUUUUGUAGCUCUAUAUGAGCCCUUUAUGGAUAUGAACAAGAUAGAUGGUUAUAAACGAUAUUUUGGUUUUCACCAUUGUUUAGCCAAUACCAAUGGUCAAAUAUGGUGCUUCUGGAAAGGUCUUGACAACACCACUAUUGCUGCUAAUACUGAUUAGCAAAUUACUCUUAAGAUGAAAGAUAGUCCCAAUGAUAAUGGAACCUUUGCGACUGCAGUGUAUGCCAAAUGUACACAAGAAGAAAGGGAAGAUCUAUGGGAUAGCAUCAUGAAUAUGUAUAGUCUCAUUAAUUGACCAUGGUGCAUGGGAGGUAACUUUAAUUUCAUCAUGGAUCCUGAUGAAAAACUUGGUAGUGUACCUCAUAUAAUGAGUAAGAGUAUGGCCUUUAUCAAUUGUAUGAGUCUUGUGGUUUGAGUGACUUAGGUUUUACAAGACCUAAAUACACUUGGUGUAACUACUAGAGACCUUGCAAACGGAUAUGGAUGAGACUAAAUAGAGUCUUGAUAAAUGAUGAUUGGACCCUCCAAUAUCAGAACAACAGUGUCAAGCAUCUGUCUAGAUUAGGUUCUGAUCAUAGACCACUUUUGCUUAAAUCUAAAAAUGACCAACAAAGUCACACCAAAUAUUUCAAGUUCCUGAAUUUUUGGGUUGAUCAAGAUAACUUCAUGGAGACUGUCCAAACUUCUUGGAAUGAAGAGGUAGGAGGCAACCCUAUGUGGAGAUUACAAUGUAAGAUGAAGAAACUAAGCAAAGUUCUCAGUAAAUGGUCUAGAGAUCAGAUUGGGAAUAUUCAUGAGCAAUUUCAGGACUGAGAAGCCAAGAUAGAAAUAUUGGGAGAACUGAAUAUCAUGCACAACACAGAACAAGGAAGGGAGGAUCUCAAUAGGGGAUAUGCGGAACAUACAAGAUGGCUCAACAUGCAGGAUUCUUUACUCAGGCAAAAAACUAAGCUUAGAUGGGGACAAGAACACUAAAUACUUUCAUAGUGUUCUAAGAAGUAGGAGAAGAAGAAUGCAAAUACAAAGGAUAAAAAAUUAUAGAGGGAGAUGGGUUCAAGGUGAUGACAAUGUUGCCAAAGCUAAUAUUAAGUUCUCCAUGAAACAGUUCAAUCUUGAACUGCCUGAAAGAAAUAGCAGAAUUUUGGAUUGAAUUCCGAGCAAAAUCACUGAUGAAGACAACUAUAUGUUAACUAAAUUACCAGAUGAGGAGGAAAUUCAACAAGCUAUAUUCAAUAUGAGCAAGGAUAGAUAAGUAUUUCCAGAUGUUUACAGCGAUUGUUUUGCAGGUAAAAGUAUUCAACUAGGGUGGUUGGCUAUCAGCUGGGAUUGGCAAACUCCAUUUUCUUCCUAGAGCAGUGCCGAGUCAUUAUGGUUAUCAUAUGUGUGUAUGGGUAUGUCGGAACCCUGUCCCGACUUAUAUGAUUCAAGUGCUUACUCUUAGAGACUUUGCAGACAGUGUCAUGUGGUUAGUAUGUUGAGAUGUCAUGUGUUGAGUAAAGCGACCAUGUAGUUAGUUUGACUUACUGGGUUUUGAUUAAUUGAGGAUCGUUCGCAAA